AACCUUUCCUUUAGGAGAAAUUGCUGAGCUCUGCAGGAACUGUGAAUGGUGACUAUCUGGUAAUUCUAAGACUGAAAAGCAAGAGUGAAGGUAAGGACUACCAGGAGCUGGCCCCCUCCCCGACUUUGUCACCUGGGAACAGCCAAACUGUCGUGGCCACUUUCAGAGAAAUAAAGAAGGUGGUGCAGUGGUAAAGAAUCCACCUGCCAAGGCAGAAGAAACAGGAGACAGCCAGUUCAGUCUCUGGGUGAGGAAGAUUUCCUGGAAGAGAAGGAAAUGGCAACCCACUCCAGUAUUCUUGCCUGGAAAAUACCACGGACAGAGGAGUCUGCCAGGCUCCUGGGGUUGCAAAGAGUUGGACAUGAUUGAGCACACACAUAUUUUAAGAAAAACUUAAUAAAUGUUAAUGAUAUUGAUAUCUGAUCAUUUUAAAAGAAAUACACGGAAAUCAUAUGCCUUAAAAAGAUAAACAUCUUCCAGAGAAUAUUAUCAGGCUUGAUUUGUCUCUUCGGACCUCAAAAAGUAAAUUCACUCAGCUCUCAGAACUAAGGUUUAUUUCUGCUACAGGAGAAGAGGUUAUUUCAUUCUGUUAGACCAUUCAAUCAGUACAGCUUGCUGUAAACAGGAAAUAAUAUUUUAUUUAGCAUAGUAAGAUGAAAAUUCUAUUUGAGAGAAAUGACUUGUUGGGUCUUUGACAACACCUCAGUUUCCCUUUUCAUUUACCUCACAAGAAUGCUAUGGAAUUACUAUUUAGAUUUCUUUUUAGAAGUCCCAAAUGCAGGUCAUCUCUAUAUUUUCUUUUGAGUGCUACAACUAGGCUGUCCAGGGAAGCAGAGAUUUAUUCUUGUACAUCAG
ensembl:lncRNA